UACGUAGGGUGCAAGCGUUGUCCGGAAUUAUUGGGCGUAAAGAGCUCGUAGGCGGUUUGUCGCGUCUGCUGUGAAAACCCGAGGCUCAACCUCGGGCCUGCAGUGGGUACGGGCAGACUAGAGUGCGGUAGGGGAGAUUGGAAUUCCUGGUGUAGCGGUGGAAAUGCGCAGAUAUCAGGAGGAACACCAAUGGCGAAGGCAGAUCUCUGGGCCGUAACUGACGCUGAGGCGCGAAAGCG
rnacentral:rRNA from 1 species